UACAGAGGGGGCAAGCGUUGUUCGGAAUUACUGGGCGUAAAGGGCGCGUAGGCGGCCCGCUAAGUCGAACGUGAAAUCCCCGGGCUCAACCCGGGAACUGCAUCCGAUACUGGCAGGCUUGAAUCCGGGAGAGGGAUGCGGAAUUCCAGGUGUAGCGGUGAAAUGACGUAGAUAUCUGGAGGAACACCGGUGGCGAAGGCGGUUCUCUGGGCAUUACCUGACGCUGAGGAGCGAAAGUGUGGGGAGCGAACAGG
rnacentral:rRNA from 1 species